CUAACACAUGCAAGUCGAGGGGUAACAGAGAGAAGCUUGCUUUUCUGCUGACGACCGGCGCACGGGUGCGUAACGCAUAUACAAUCUGCCUUAUACAGAGGGAUAGCCUUUAGAAAUGAAGAUUAAUACCUUAUAGUCUAUUUUUAUAGCAUUAUAUAAAUAGUAAAGCUUCGGUGGUAUAAGAUGAGUAUGCGUCCUAUUAGUUAGUUGGUAAGGUAACGGCUUACCAAGACAACGAUAGGUAGGGGCCCUGAGAGGGGGAUCCCCCACACUGGUACUGAGACACGGACCAGACUCCUACGGGAGGCAGCAGUGAGGAAUAUUGGACAAUGGAGGCAACUCUGAUCCAGCCAUGCCGCGUGCAGGAUGACGGCCCUAUGGGUUGUAAACUGCUUUUAUAUAGGAAGAAACCUUUUCACGUGUGAGAAGCUGACGGUACUAUAAGAAUAAGGACCGGCU
rnacentral:rRNA from 1 species